rnacentral:rRNA from 1 species
UUGAACGCUGGCGGCAGGCCUAACACAUGCAAGUCGAACGGUAACAGGAAGAAGCUUGCUUCUUUGCUGACGAGUGGCGGACGGGUGAGUAAUGUCUGGGAAACUGCCUGAUGGAGGGGGAUAACUACUGGAAACGGUAGCUAAUACCGCAUAACGUCGCAAGACCAAAGAGGGGGACCUUCGGGCCUCUUGCCAUCGGAUGUGCCCAGAUGGGAUUAGCUAGUAGGUGGGGUAACGGCUCACCUAGGCGACGAUCCCUAGCUGGUCUGAGAGGAUGACCAGCCACACUGGAACUGAGACACGGUCCAGACUCCUACGGGAGGCAGCAGUGGGGAAUAUUGCACAAUGGGCGCAAGCCUGAUGCAGCCAUGCCGCGUGUAUGAAGAAGGCCUUAGGGUUGUAAAGUACUUUCAGCGGGGAGGAAGGGAGUAAAGUUAAUACCUUUGCUCAUUGACGUUACCCGCAGAAGAAGCACCGGCUAACUCCGUGCCAGCAGCCGCGGUAAUACGGAGGGUACAAGCGUUAAUCGGAAUUACUGGGCGUAAAGCGCACGCAGGCGGUUUGUUAAGUCAGAUGUGAAAUCCCCGGGCUCAACCUGGGAACUGCAUCUGAUACUGGCAAGCUUGAGUCUCGUAGAGGGGGGUAGAAUUCCAGGUGUAGCGGUGAAAUGCGUAGAGAUCUGGAGGAAUACCGGUGGCGAAGGCGGCCCCCUGGACGAAGACUGACGCUCAGGUGCGAAAGCGUGGGGAGCAAACAGGAUUAGAUACCCUGGUAGUCCACGCCGUAAACGAUGUCGACUUGGAGGUUGUGCCCUUGAGGCGUGGCUUCCGGAGCUAACGCGUUAAGUCGACCGCCUGGGGAGUACGGCCGCAAGGUUAAAACUCAAAUGAAUUGACGGGGGCCCGCACAAGCGGUGGAGCAUGUGGUUUAAUUCGAUGCAACGCGAAGAACCUUACCUGGUCUUGACAUCCACAGAACUUUCCAGAGAUGGAUUGGUGCCUUCGGGAACUGUGAGACAGGUGCUGCAUGGCUGUCGUCAGCUCGUGUUGUGAAAUGUUGGGUUAAGUCCCGCAACGAGCGCAACCCUUAUCCUUUGUUGCCAGCGGUCCGGCCGGGAACUCAAAGGAGACUGCCAGUGAUAAACUGGAGGAAGGUGGGGAUGACGUCAAGUCAUCAUGGCCCUUACGACCAGGGCUACACACGUGCUACAAUGGCGCAUACAAAGAGAAGCGACCUCGCGAGAGCAAGCGGACCUCAUAAAGUGCGUCGUAGUCCGGAUUGGAGUCUGCAACUCGACUCCAUGAAGUCGGAAUCGCUAGUAAUCGUGGAUCAGAAUGCCACGGUGAAUACGUUCCCGGGCCUUGUACACACCGCCCGUCACACCAUGGGAGUGGGUUGCAAAAGAAGUAGGUAGCUUAACCUUCGGGAGGGCGCUUACCACUUUGUGAUUCAUGACUGGGGUG